rnacentral:rRNA from 1 species
GAUGAACGCUGGCGGCGUGCCUAAUACAUGCAAGUCGAGCGAACGGACGAGAAGCUUGCUUCUCUGAUGUUAGCGGCGGACGGGUGAGUAACACGUGGAUAACCUACCUAUAAGACUGGGAUAACUUCGGGAAACCGGAGCUAAUACCGGAUGAUAUUUUGAACCGCAUGGUUCAAAAGUGAAAGACGGUCUUGCUGUCACUUAUAGAUGGAUCCGCGCUGCAUUAGCUAGUUGGUAAGGUAACGGCUUACCGAGGCAACGAUGCAUAGCCGACCUGAGAGGGUGAUCGGCCACACUGGAACUGAGACACGGUCCAGACUCCUACGGGAGGCAGCAGUAGGGAAUCUUCCGCAAUGGGCGAAAGCCUGACGGAGCAACGCCGCGUGAGUGAUGAAGGUCUUCGGAUCGUAAAACUCUGUUAUUAGGGAAGAACAUAUGUGUAAGUAACUGUGCACAUCUUGACGGUACCUAAUCAGAAAGCCACGGCUAACUACGUG